rnacentral:rRNA from 1 species
UACAGAGGGGGCAAGCGUUGUUCGGAAUUACUGGGCGUAAAGGGCGCGUAGGCGGCCGCCUAAGUCAGACGUGAAAUCCCUCGGCUCAACCGGGGAACUGCGUCUGAUACUGGGUGGCUUGAAUCCGGGAGAGGGAUGCGGAAUUCCAGGUGUAGCGGUGAAAUGCGUAGAUAUCUGGAGGAACACCGGUGGCGAAGGCGGCAUCCUGGACCGACACUGACGCUGAUGCGCGAAAGCCAGGGGAGCAAACGGG